rnacentral:rRNA from 1 species
CAGCCGCCACGGGAAUACAGAGGGUGCAAGCGUUAAUCGGAAUUACUGGGCGUAAAGCGCGCGUAGGUGGUUUGUUAAGUUGGAUGUGAAAGCCCCGGGCUCAACCUGGGAACUGCAUCCAAAACUGGCAAGCUAGAGUACGGUAGAGGGUGGUGGAAUUUCCUGUGUAGCGGUGAAAUGCGUAGAUAUAGGAAGGAACACCAGUGGCGAAGGCGACCACCUGGACUGAUACUGACACUGAGGUGCGAAAGCGUGGGGAGCAAACAGGAUUAGAUACCCCAGUAGUCCCUGUCUCUUAUCA